rnacentral:rRNA from 1 species
GACGAACGCUGGCGGCGUGCUUAACACAUGCAAGUCGAACGGAAAGGCCCCUUUGGGGGUACUCGAGUGGCGAACGGGUGAGUAACACGUGAGUAACCUGCCCUUGACUUCGGGAUAACUUCAGGAAACUGGGGCUAAUACCGGAUAGGAAUCCUUGCUGCAUGGUGGGGGUUGGAAAGCUUCGGCGGUUUUGGAUGGACUCGCGGCUUAUCAGCUUGUUGGUGGGGUAGUGGCUUACCAAGGCUUUGACGGGUAGCCGGCCUGAGAGGGCGACCGGCCACAUUGGGACUGAGAUACGGCCCAGACUCCUACGGGAGGCAGCAGUGGGGAAUAUUGCACAAUGGGCGGAAGCCGGAUGCAGCAACGCCGCGGGCGGGAUGACGGCCUUCGGGUUGUAAACCGCUUUCAGCAGGGGCGAAGCUUGUGGUGACGGUACCUGCAGAAGAAGCACCGGCUAACUACGUG